rnacentral:rRNA from 1 species
AGGACGAACGCUGGCGGCGUGCUUAACACAUGCAAGUCGAACGGAAAGGCCCUUCGGGGUACUCGAGUGGCGAACGGGUGAGUAACACGUGGGUGAUCUGCCCUGCACUUCGGGAUAAGCCUGGGAAACUGGGUCUAAUACCGGAUAGGACUACGGCCUGCAUGGGUUGUGGUGGAAAGCUUUUGCGGUGUGGGAUGGGCCCGCGGCCUAUCAGCUUGUUGGUGGGGUGAUGGCCUACCAAGGCGACGACGGGUAGCCGGCCUGAGAGGGUGUCCGGCCACACUGGGACUGAGAUACGGCCCAGACUCCUACGGGAGGCAGCAGUGGGGAAUAUUGCACAAUGGGCGCAAGCCUGAUGCAGCGACGCCGCGUGAGGGAUGACGGCCUUCGGGUUGUAAACCUCUUUCAGUAGGGACGAAGCGCAAGUGACGGUACCUAUAGAAGAAGCACCGGCCAACUACGCGCCAGCAGCCGC